AGAGUUUGAUCAUGGCUCAGGACGAACGCUGGCGGCGUGCCUAAUACAUGCAAGUCGAACGAACACCUUCGGGUGUUAGUGGCGAACGGGUGAGUAACACGUAAGUAACCUAUCUAUUAGACGAGGAUAACUACUGGAAACGGUAGCUAAGACUGGAUAUGAUAGCAAUAUUUAAAGGAUGCUUUAGGGCAUCGCUAAUAGGAGGGCUUGCGGCGCAUUAGCUAGUUGGUAGGGUAAAGGCCAACCAGGGCAAUGAUGCGUAGCCGACCUGAGAGGGUGAACGGCCACACUGGGACUGAGAGACGGCCCAGACUCCUACGGGAGGCAGCAGUAGGGAAUCUUCGGCAAUGGACGGAAGUCUGACCGAGCAACGCCGCGUGAGUGAAGAAGGUCUUCGGAUUGUAAAGCUCUGUUAUUAGGGAAGAAAGAGAUAUGGAGGAAAUGCCAUAUAAGUGACGGUACCUAAUGAGGAAGCCACGGCUAACUACGUGCCAGCAGCCGCGGUAAUACGUAGGUGGCAAGCGUUGUCCGGAAUUAUUGGGCGUAAAGGGUGCGUAGGCGGUCAAUUAAGUCUGGUUUGAAAGCCCAUGGCUUAACCAUGGAGGGAGAUUGGAAACUGGUUGACUUGAGUACAGGAGAGGAAGGUGGAAUUCCACGUGUAGCGGUGAAAUGCGUAGAGAUGUGGAGGAACACCAGUGGCGAAGGCGGCCUUCUGGCCUGUGUCUGACGCUGAAGCACGAAAGCGUGGGGUAGCAAACAGGAUUAGAUACCCUGGUAGUCCACGCCGUAAACGAUGAGUACUAAGUGUUGGGGGAAACCUCGGUGCUGAAGUUAACGCAUUAAGUACUCCGCCUGGGAAGUACGGUCGCAAGACUGAAACUCAAAGGAAUUGACGG
rnacentral:rRNA from 1 species